CGGCUCUGCUUCUGCCUUCUCCCCUUUUGAUUAAAUACAUUUUUAUUAUACUUGCAAUAAGGAGCAUUUUUAAAAUCGUCUGUUCUGAUCGAUGGUGCUUUAAAUACUGUUAUCUAUAAAAUCCCAUCCCAUAACCGAUAUAUCUACUGUGUCCCACAUAUAAAACAUGCUGGCCAGCUCGUGGCUCUCUCUUCUUUUACACUCUCAUCGCCGCUCCCUCCCACUCACGGCUCCCACUUGAGAUAGCUACGCUGGUUAGCAUCACAGUAGCACGGCCAGUUGGCCAGAAUUGGGCAGUUAUUGAGCUGUAUUGGUUCUGAUGUCUUCGGUCUACUAGCUGGGAGGGGCUCUACCAUAACCUUACCUUAACCUUAACCUUAACCUUAUCUUAACCUUUAUUCACGAGGUUGGUUAACAAGAGAGGUCCGGGCAAGACUGUGCAGCAUUCUGUAUAAUACAGUAAACAGACAGUACACAGGAGGAAACCUUCAACCUCAUUAAAGGAUUGGAGAAGGCAGAGGAGGAGACCCAGGAGCUCAGAGCUUACAGCUGGACCACCACGUAACUUCUGUCUUUCCAACUUCUACCCACCUUGAUCUCAAAGUCAUCGUUGUUUCAGACGAGGAGAAAAAGAGUCUUAAUUAGGAGUAGAAUGAUUUGAAGGGUGAUUAUACACCCCUCUCACGGCGUGGUUUCACGUUAAUACUCCUACUCCUGGAGUAUUUAUGAGUAGAUGAAAUGCGGGGGCCAGGGACCCCCUUGCAUGCUGUAAAGGCUGCUAUUCGAGAGAGUCAAUUAGGUGAUUACACGGGCGGUCUGACUCUUACUGUGUUCUGCCUUACUGCUCCCUAACGCACCCAUUUGAUUUAAUAUCGGCUCACUGGCAAAUUGCAGGUUUAUUAUUGUUAAAAAUAGCCUGGCCAGAUAGGUCCUCCAAUUUCUGUAAUGGAGCUCUUGAUCUUAAGCCCUGGGGCGAUCCCACCCACUCUGACAACUUGGAGACGGUAGAGUGUGAGCAGCUUGGUGUCAGUUCUCCUGUGUUGGAGGUCGGCUCCAGACUCAUUUCUGCCUGCGAUCGGGGCCGGGUGCACGACUGGAGCUACAGAGACGGACGUCAGGAACAUGAGUAGAAUACGAGUAUAUGCUUUGGGCCCAAAGAGAGGCAGAGGAAAAUAAAAGCGUCCAAUCAAUAACAGAACAGGAGAACUCUAAACGCUGCAGGAGAGAGGAUCCGGAAUCCCAUCCCGCCGUCCCGGGUGGAAGGCAGGACCGCUGCAGGAGCCGAACUCUCCAGGUUCCGCUCCGGGAUCGCUGCCGGGAUCGACGUGAGCGUUCACAAUAAAUGGAAUCGUUUUUUUUGUCGUUGAGCUUCUUCACGCCAACUGGCCAAUUAAAGCAGCUGCUGGAACCUCGGCUGGAACCGCAGUCAGGAGCAAAAUCCGCGGCAAGAGGAAGACAGACGGCGCGGGCUGCUAUGAAAUGCAGCUUUUGUACCGGGACGUGUUUCCAUGGUUACACAAUUUUUCAUGGAGACGUUAUACGUCCUGAAAAUUGGAGGAGAGCCGCGAUAAGAUUAGUAUCUAAUCUCCAAGGAGAUAUAUGGGUUGAUGGACUGUGUCUGAGAGGGAACAAAAUAAAACAAAUAAAGCACAAACGGAACUCGAAAAAAACUUAUGCUGCUAAUAAAACAAAUGUCGUCCGCUGGUAGAAAGUUCAUACUGAGUUUGCCUGCGGCUCGCAGAAUAGCUGGAGAGAAGGACGGAUUGAUGAAUAGAAGACUAGAUCAUGAAUCCCAAAGGGCAGCGCUGGGCCUCUGAGCUCCAUGCUGCUCCUCACGGUGACGACACGUCAGGGGGAGAGAGGGCCGACUCUAACCAGAGUGAAGACCAACAGGAGCUCUUACAUCGGGAGGAUUGAGACAUACCUACACAAGCUGUGAUAUGAGAGCGGCCAUUUCCUGGUGGGAUCUGCAGUGACCAACACUAGUGUCAGUGUUACACGUACACUAACCACCUGUAAUAAUAUCACGUACAGUAACAACCUGUAACACUGUGAACGUAACCCGAGGAACAAGGGUCAGUGUUUGUCCUGUGCAGGAGAUCGACAGGGUGAUCUCUUUGAGACACAGAUAGAAAACAACUACUAAUAAAUCUGUUACGACAAUCA